UCACAUAAUUUCACGAGUCCAGCCAAAAAGCCGCACCGGUGUGGUUGAAAAUGAGCCACCGCCGCCGCUUCCUUCCCCCACGUCGGCGGCCUGUCUCCACCGCGCGCCGCCCUCCUCCUUCCUCGACGCCGGCCGCCUCCCUCCACCACGCGCCGCCGUCCUCCUUCCCCGACGCCGGCCACCGCCCACUACCACGCGCCGCCCUCCUCCUUCCCCGGCGCCGGCCACCUACCUCCACGACGCGCCGCUCCUCCUUCCCCGGCGCCGGACUCCUCCCUCCACCACACGACGCCCUCCUCCUUCCCCGGCGCCGGCCGCCUGCCUCCACCACGCGCCGCCCUCCUCCAUCCCCUGCGCCGGCCACCUACAUCCAUCGCGCAGAUCCCGCCGCAGCCCCAAAACCUAAACGGCGCCGCCGCUGUCGUCCCGCACAGGAUCGACCCGCCGCUAUCGCUCUGCUGCCGUGUACAACUGUACACGCGGUUCAACGCCUCAGCCCCAGGCCAUUCAAUGCCUCGCCGGCCUGCGGCUCCUCCAUGGACACCUAGCUCCUCUACUAGAGCCACCGCGGCCGACGGCAGCCCAUGGUGGCGGAGUUCGUUGCGUCCAUCAGUCCAACCCCAUUGCUUCAGGGUGGCCGAUUUUUGUCGCGGCCAUCAGUUCGGACACCUGUGUCACUGCGUGCGUUGCUACCACGGCCAUUUGCGUCACUACGUGCUCCGUCACCGGCCUCAUGCGCACCGUGACCCCUGGCACACUCCUUCCUCUCCCUGACGCUGCUCGUGCCCUCCCAGGCUUGAUCUCCUGCUGCAGCGAUGAGCUCCUGUACAUUGCUGAAGUUCCGUACCUGACGGCACCAGCACGAGGAUGCAGCAGCCAGGCUGGACCCCAUGAACUGUGAUGCUCUACUGAUGGAGAGAAGUUUGGGAAACUGCACAAAUAUUGGUAUUUGGAGUUAUGAAUUUGGUGCUCCGUAGGUGCCUGUUGGUAUAUGCAAGUGCUUAAAAGUAUUUAGGUGGGUGGUCCGACACCGCUGCGUCCAGCAGUCCAACACCGCCGCCGGAGGCCGUUCACUGUCGCAAUGCCUACUUUUGCCUGCGCCUCCUUCCCAGUCAUCGUGAGACCUGACGGAACAAGGCAGAACCUCUCUCUCGUACGCAGUAAUAUUGCUCUCUCAUCUCUCAUCUCGUAGGCAGUAGUAAUAUUGCUCUCUCAUCUCUCAUCUCGUAGGCAGUAGUAAUAUUGCUCUCUCAUCUCUCAUCUUGUAGGCAGUAAUAUUUUGAUGAAUGUGUUACAAAACAAAUUCCGUAUUGACAUUCAGUAGCUUAGAGAGAGUAGCACAGAGAAACGUUGUUGUGUUGUGGAUGACAAAGAACACAUGUGACAGCAAGUCCAGGUAUUACUACAUGGGGAGUACAAAAUUACUUUUACUGAGAGAUCACUUGAAUCCUUGAUAGCUACUAGCCAUAGGAACCUAACCCAGAAAAAAUGUGCGAAAAAGAAACAUUUUGUACUACCAUUAGUCAUCGAUGGCGUGUAAUGUUAUAUUUUCUUGCUUCCCUAGCGUUGAAUUAGAACAGCAUUUUCAAGAGCUGCAUUAGCUCAUUACUUAUCUCUUGUACUGUUAAUUUUAUUUUCAAAACCAAACUUGUACUGGGCACAUGAGUUCCGAUAGUAGCUUCUCUUUGACAGAUUUUACAUAAUCAAGCAUUCUUGAUGUGCUGCCUUUCUUCCAGAUAUAUAGAUUCAGUUUUGAAUCCGAUUCUCAAAUCAGACAAUCAUAAUUCUAUUGCCAGUUCUGAAACAAAGAAAUGUUUGCGUAACAGUCCCAUAAACAGCACCAAAACGAAUCCCCAUCCUUGGUAACUUGCUGGCUUUGAUCUUCCAGGGCAGCAUGAAUGAUCAGUACUCCCUUUAAUCAAUGCGCGCUCAUCGAGCCAUAGUAGCAUCUCAUUUGUCCUAAAUUCUUCCACUCUCUGGAAACAAGUCCCGGAAUGGAUGUGAAUAGAGUAUACUCCCAUGGUUUUGCGAGAAAUCGUACAAUAAGAGUACCGUUCACUAUGUAUUUUAUCAUCAGUUAAAAAAUAAUCACAGAAAAAGUUCAAUUGUGUUAUUGAAACAACUCAAUUUAUAAGUAUUAUAUUAUAUGAUAAGUGAUGCAUAGGGAUGUUGCAACAGUUCGACUCACAGAGCUAGUAAGUUCGACGAAAAAACAGCACAAGGCAUGUCAGUUCGCGCAGAGCAUAUCAGUCUUUCAGUUCGUGAGCUCGUCAGUUCACCGAUGGGAUCCGCAGCUCCCAGGUGGUUCACAGCCGCCGCCCUAGUCCGUUCGUCACUUCCAAUCGAGGUCGUUCGACAAUGCAG